rnacentral:rRNA from 1 species
GGCAGCAGUGGGGAAUAUUGGACAAGGGGCGAAAGCCUGAUCCAGCAAUCCCGCGUGUGUGAAGAAGGCCUGCGGGUUGUAAAGCACUUUCAGUGGGGAAGAAAAGCGGGGCUCUAAUACCGGGGGGUCUUGACAUUACCUACAGAAGAAGCACCGGCUAACUCCGUGCCAGCAGCCGCGGUAAUACGGAGGGUGCGAGCGUUUUUCGGAAUUAUUGGGNGUAAAGCGCGCGUAGGCGGUUUUGUAAGUCGGAUGUGAAAGCCCCGGGCUUAACCUGGGAAUUGCAUCCGAUAAUGCAGGGGUAGAGUNUGGUAGAGGAGAGAGGAAUUCCCGGUGUAGCGGUGAAAUGUGUAGAUAUCGGGAGGAACACCAGUGGCGAAGGNGACUCUCUGGACCAAAAUUGACGCUGAGGUGUGAAAGCGUGGGGAGCAAACAGGAUUAGAUACCCUGGUAGUCCACGCCGUAAACGAUGAGAACUAGCUGUUGGGGGGAUCAUGCCCCUCAGUGGCGCAGCUAACGCAUUAAGUAUCCGC